AUGCAUGGAAGGAUGACAGCAGCAGGACCCUGCUCCAGUGGGGGCUGGCUUCCCUUAGCAUGGCCCUGCCUGUCGUGUGCAGGAUGCCAGCACACUUCUUACUUCUAGCAUCCGAGUCACUGUAUCAUGUGCUGCUGGGCCCAGCUGUGUGCCCUGCUGGGGCUGCUCGUCCACCUGCUCUGAGAAUGGGCUUCUAGGUUCUGCAGGGACACAGCAUCUGGAUUUGUUGACCAUAGCUAUGCAUUGUGCAAGACUCCACAGUCCAUCUCAUUCUUCUUGGAUACCAGCCUCUGAAGAGUGGGAGACUUGUCUGUUUGACACAUCAGAGCAUCCCCAGUGCCUAGAGCAGUGACUGGCACAUGGUACUGGGGAUCCAGCAACAAGUCAUGUGGACAAGAUUCCUGCCCUCACAGGGUGGACAUUGCUGUGGGCAAAUAGAAUGCCAG